GUUCGAGUCCCGGACCCGCGGGGACACCGGUUCGAGUCCCCGCCCGGCAAAAGGGACUGAUGACAGUCAGUCCAACACUCCAGCACUUGGCCAUAUGAAGGGAGAAGAAGCAGAAUUUUAGAUACCUGGUACUUAUGACUUGAAAGAGCAGAAAGAAGUUACACACCCUAGUAUAAAAAGUGAAGUCCCAAGUGGCUGUGACUCAAUAGGACAUCUACAGAAU